AUAUUGGACAAUGGGCGAAAGCCUGAUCCAGCCAUGCCGCGUGUGUGAAGAAGGUCUUCGGAUUGUCAAGCACUUUAACUUGGGCGAAAGUGUUGUCCCUUAAUACUCUGCAAUUUUUACGUUACCAACAGAUUAUGCCCCGUCUAACUUCGUGCCAUCAGCCGCGGUAAUACGAAGGCUCCAAGAGUUAAUCGGAAUUACUGGGCGUAAAGCGCGCGUAGGUGGUUUGUCAAGUUGGAAGUGAAAGCCCCGGGCUCAACCUGGGAACUGCUUUCAAAACUGGCAAGCUAGAGUAUGGCAGAGGGUGGUGGAAUUUCCUGUGUAGCGGUGAAAUGCGUAGAUAUAGGAAGGAACAUCAGUGGCGAAGGCGACCACCUGGGCUAAUACUGACACUGAGGUGCGAAAGCGUGGGGAGCAAAC
rnacentral:rRNA from 1 species